UGGAAGAAACCCCAGGAGGUCAUCUGUCCAACCCCCUGCUCAAAGGAGGACCAACCCCAACUAAAGCAUCCCAGCCAGGGCUUUGUCAACCCGGGCCUUAAAAACCUCUAAGGAUGGAGAUUCCACCACCUCCCUAGAGCCAGUUAUCUCAUCAUAGAAGUCAAUCAGGUUGGUCAGGCGUGACUUGCCCUUGGUGAAUCCAUGUUGACUGUUCCUGAUCACCUUCCUCUCCUCCAAAUGCUUCAAAAUGGAUUCCUUGAGGACCUGCUCCGUGAUUUUUCCAGGGACAGAGAGCUCAUCUGAACCUCCUGCCUUGUCUUGCAGAGAAGCCAGAAUUCUGAAAAAAGAAGAACAGGAG